UACCUUUCAAGGUCACACCUGGAGAGUUACCACUACGCUACCAGUCUUGGCUACGGGAGGGAGAGGCAAGCAGAGGCCUACCCAUUCCAUUCCUAGCUUGGCCAGUAGCUAGUGAGUGGAAGGCAAUCUGCUACAGGU